rnacentral:rRNA from 1 species
UACAGAGGGGGCAAGCGUUGUUCGGAAUUACUGGGCGUAAAGCGUGCGCAGGCGGUCUUUUAAGUCAGAUGUGAAAUCCCCGGGCUUAACCUGGGAACUGCGUUUGAAACUGAAAGGCUAGAGUGUGGCAGAGGGGGGUGGAAUUCCACGUGUAGCAGUGAAAUGCGUAGAGAUGUGGAGGAACACCGAUGGCGAAGGCAGCCCCCUGGGCUAACACUGACGCUCAUGCACGAAAGCGUGGGGAGCAAACAGG